GUUCACACAUCGUGUUGUUUUUCAGCGUCGGCAGUUUGGCCAUCCUCCUAGUGCUCCUAAGUGGCUGUUUCUGCUGAGUGAAAUGGACACGUGAGCACCCCCAUUGUUCCAUCUGACUCACUCAGUUUUACUUCUGCAUUGGAAUGAUAUGGAUGAAGCAGCUAGCACGGCAUGCACAGUAUACAGUAUGCUUCAUUGAGUACAGCAACAGUUAUUUGGGCUAAUCCGAACCUUCCUAUGAGCGUUAAGCAGCAUCCUUUCUUUCUGAUGUAAAUGUUAUUAUGUUGAUUGUGCAACUUUGCAAGCUGCUUCCAUGUCAGUUAAGUAGCUACAUAUCCCACUGAAAAUAUGCACAUUGCACAGUUUAAACAGGCCUGUAGGCAUGUCUUAAUGCCACCCAGUAUACGCUUUAGAAAGAGGAACUGCAGGGAUGCAGUGGUAGAACAUUUCAAAGUAGCCUAAUAUGUUUGUGAAAUGUGAUGUACUUGUACUUCCAAAAUAUACAUUACCCCUUGAAAAAGUGAUAAUCUUAUAGAAGUGCCCUUUCUUGUUUUAGGAGUUUCUACUGAAAGAACACCAGACUAUAUCAACACCCAUUUCUGUGCAGGUUGGGCCUCUAUGCUCUUGUUCUAAUCCUCAAUGUUCAUUUUAAUUUUUUGAGAAAGAGAAUGUAUUACUGCUAUGGCAUUUGAGCACCACUUUCAAAUCUGAUUGAAACAUGAAAUUAGUGUAGAAUUCUGUAUAAUAUCACAGGAUCCAGUGCACCUCCUGAGGAUGUUGCAUGUAGUGACAAUGUCGGGAGAGAUGUGGUACAGGAGAGAGGUAAAAGACGUACACACAUAGGCUAAAACAGCAUGUGCUCACACUCAAACACACACACGCGCAUGCACAUGCACACACAAACACAGUGUUUUAUUAUGUCUAUGUGGUUAAGAUUCUUCAACAUUACAGCAUCACUCUAUAUUUACUAAACAAGACCACAGACUGAUGCAGACUGAUGCUCACAUCUGGUUUUUGUCUUAAUUUAGGAGUCGGCAAUGAGCGACCGAUCUAUGAAAACAAUGAACAUGAUCCAACCAGAAUGCAGCAUGAUCCGACCAGAAUUCACCAUGAUCCGACCACAAUUCAGCACGAUCCGACCAGAAUUCAGCACGAUCCAACCAGAAUUCAGCAUGAUCCCACCAGAAUUCAGCAUGAUCCCACCACAAUUCAGCACGAUCUGUCCAGAAUUCAGCAUGAUCCCACCACAAUUCAGCAUGAUCCAACCAGAAUUCAGCAUGAUCCAACCAGAAUUCAACAUGAAGCACAAAGAAACCAGCACGAACCAGUUAGAUACAAAAAUAAAUUGAGAGAUUCGAGUGAGAACAGAAGACAGGGGUUUCAUGGAGGUGAGCUAUUUGUAACAUACCAUAGACAUUCUAUAACCAUAAUUCAUUGUUCAAUGAUACCAAUAUUUUCAUCCCCGCUUGGUAUGCAUGUUGAAUUCAGAAGUAACUAAACUUUAUGGACUUUCCUUCCCCAGAACUCAUGAGCAGAUUGCGCCAAUCAAGUCUCGGACAGCGUUACUAUGGUAAAGUCAGAACUUUGUAAUGAUCAAUUUACAGUAUAGGCUUGCGGGGAUCCUUUUAUGAAUUACAUUGACUUGUCGUGAACUCUGACAGCAAACCAAGCCGAUAUCAACCAGCAAACCAGAGUUCAGAUGGACAACCACCAAAGAGCAAACGAAGCAAAGAUCAACCAGGAUGGCAGAUCCCAAAUGGACAACUGCCAAAGAGCUGUCCUACACACUAUGCUUUACAGUAAUCUCUGAAACAAAUCAAUAUGCACUCUAGCAUUUUGUUAUUAAAGCAUUGUCUCCUCAUUGCAGGAAGCUUUUGGAGAAAGAAACCCAAAGAGCGUAAGUUGCUUUUUUUUUUACACACAACAUACUGUAUAAUCAUAAUAAUUUAUAUUAAGACCUCUCUCUCUCCCAGAAUGUGAAUAUGAAAACCCAAUCUAUAACAGUGUAGUCCAACUCCACAAACUAUAGACGAGGAUGAAGAGGAUACUGGGUCUCAACUCCUUGGUCUCAAUUUUGUUUAGAUUGUAUUUUAUUAUUUUUUGUAAAUAAAGUACAUUACAUUGUCUUGAAAGUGAAACAAAUAUGAAAUAAAGUUAAAUCAUUUUAAAAUUGGUUUAUGAUUCUUUCAUGCAUUGUAUUAUCCAAUGUGAAUCAGAAAAGUCUCUAAUCAAGACAAUGAACCCUAAUAACCCCCAGCUGUGUCACCCUACCAGUGGAUGGUCACCCAGGCCCAUUGUUUGCUGACCAUCAGAGAUGAAGAGGUACUCUUCUGUUGAUGUAAUGAUUCUUCGUUAUUAUUACCCUAACCUGCACAGAGCUAGAGGGAUAUAAUCCAUACAUUCAACCGCACUGACAGUCUGAAAGGUAGGAAAUAGAACUGCAGUUUACGAAGACAUAAAUUACAUUCAUCCAGUUUCCAUUCAACAUUACUGUAUGUCCAAUGUAAUGUGGCAGACCAAGGGGUUUUAUCAAGACGUUCACACAGAUAAGACACGGACACCUCAGUUUCAAGAGUGUUUAAUUAAAACAAAAAGAAAAGAAAUCGGUCUCCUCCAGGAAACCUCUUCCGGGUUACCGCCUUCUGGGCUCUGGAGUAGACCACCAAGCUGCUCGGGUCUAGCAGACCGUGAGGACAUCUGUCCGGUAGCAACCUCUCACUACCUCCAACUCUCCCGUGUGCUGCCCUCCUGGCAGCUUUAUGGGCCUUGUAAAGGCUGACGUUAUCAUCACUUUUAUUCCAAUGUGCCAGGGAGAUAUUGACAGUGGUCAUCAAGGCUAUGGUCGAUGAGGGCCAAGUUGAGAUCACCAAGAGAUUGCCUCUCAUCUUUAAAAUGCCAACUGGCAUCCUGAAAGGUAAGAAAAUAUUUGCCUUAAUGUGAUAUAAUACAAAAGUUGCAUUGUGGAAAGAAUGUAUUCAGCAGCAUUAUAGUGUGAAAUUAUAUCAGUUAUCAACAGUCUGUAAAACAUUCCCUCCAGAGGAAAUCAGCAAAGUUGACAAUCCACCAUCGAGAAGUUCCCCUUGGGCACUGAGACAAGGGUUCAUCCUCAUAUUUCAGGACUGCCCCCCCCCCCCCCUCUUGAACCUGGACACAGUCCAGAUCCCCUCCAACCACAUCCAGAAUGGCUAGCCCAAAACCAGGACUGAUCACUCUGUUACAUUCCUCUUUCAAUUCACCUACUGUGGCGUUCAAUCACAGAGGUGUGUACCAUUUAGAUGGUCUAUUUCUCUAUCAGAUCUAUUUCCCUACCAUGUCAAAUUGAUUUUUUUCCUUGGGCCUCCUUUCAGAUUGUUGAUGGAAAAUGUUUUUGGUAUCUCAGAUUGUUCUGGCAAUUCUUACAUAGAAACUUAAUUGUGAGAAAUGUUUGACAUGCUUCUUACAUUUGUAUCACGCAAAGCAUUUUUUUAGAAACUCAUGAUGAAAGUGGCAAUUUUAGGCCCCUUUUAGACCUAGACAUGCCUCAUGUAAGACCCUAUGAUCUGUGAACCGUACAUGAUACAGACAACAUAUUGCUGUCAUUAUACACCUUAUUGUGUGCUCAAAUAUAGAGUAUGUAUAGAUUCUGAAAUACAAUGUUUUCCAU
rnacentral:lncRNA from 1 species